rnacentral:rRNA from 1 species
CAAUAGCGUAUAUUAAAGUUGUUGCGGUUAAAAAGCUCGUAGUUGGAUUUCUGCUGAGAACGACCGGUCCGCCCAUUGGGUGUGUAUCUGGCUCUUUCUUGGCAUCUUCUUGGUGAACGUUACUGCACUUGACUGUGUGGAGCGCUACCCAGGACUUUUACUUUGAGGAAAUUAGAGUGUUUCAAGCAGGCAUACGCCUUGAAUACGUUAGCAUGGAAUAAUAAGAUAGGACCUCGGUUCUAUUUUGUUGGUUUCUAGAGCUGAGGUAAUGAUUAAUAGGGAUAAUUGGGGGCAUCUGUAUCAACGCGUCAGAGGUGGAAUUCUUGGAUUGCGUUGCGACAAACUACUGCGAAAGCAUUUGCCAAGGAUGUUUUCAUUGA